rnacentral:rRNA from 1 species
CGUGUAGGCGGUCUGUUAAGUCUGAUGUGAAAGCCCUGGGCUCAACCCAGGAAGUGCAUUGGAAACUGGCAGACUUGAGUACGGGAGAGGAAAGUGGAAUUCCGAGUGUAGGGGUGAAAUCCGUAGAUAUUCGGAGGAACACCAGUGGCGAAGGCGGCUUUCUGGACCUAUACUGACGCUGAGACGCGAAAGCGUGGGGAGCAAACA